UGCAACGGGCACGUUCAGUGGGCUGCGCGGCCGUUGCGAUGAGCUGCAUUGCUGAUUCUUCGCUUGCCCGAGACUGGCAAUUGUCGAGCGGGUUGCAUCCGUUGUUACGUUGCCUGAAGACAGUAGUAAAUGUGAUUUGCAGAUAGCACGAAUGCCAGCAAUCGUGCAACGUAGGAGUUCAAAGGGAGACAUGGUCAGUGUGGUUGGGUGCAAGCAACGUGUCAUUGUGGUUAGAAAAAAUGAAUUGUGAUUUAACUGUCAAAGCCGGAAUGUUUAAAGCAUACAUCCCGCCCAAGGCAUGCUGGGAUGAUCUCCUAUCAGGCAGCUUGGAAACUUCCAGACGCCGAUAUGCCUUAUGUUCGGUGCAGCCCAGGUUAUGAACUGUCAAGUGGAAUAU